AACACAGUAUGUAAUACCAGGGUCGGCCCAACCUUGGCCCAAUGUUGUAAUCAUGGCCAAACAUUGGACAAGCUUACGCCAGGGUACAGCCAAGAUUUGUACAUGCUUGCAUCCCUUGAUACCUUGAUAUUUAACCGUUUUUACCUUGGCUGCCAAGAUUACACUGAUUUAUGGAUUCACUGCAGAAAUUUUAGUUAAAUAUGCUUGUUAAACUUAAUAUAUGUUAACUAAAAUUAAUUUAUCUUUUAAUAUCAUGCUCUAAUGUAAACAUAGCAUCAAUAACAGACUACGUUGCAUGUGUUAAACAUUUUGUUAAUCUUUUUAAAAUUGUGUGCGCUACUGCCACCGGCCCCCUGUCGCCCAUUGUCCCUUUGUUCACAUUCCUUCCUAUUGUUCGCAAGCCAGCAUCCCGGUCCUGCGCCAUUUUUCUUAACAAAAGACUUUGUAUCCAGUCACAGUAAAACAGGUCCCUAUGGGAGAAUAAGAUGUCAUCAUCAUCACUCCUUUGUGGCCCCUGGGGAGCAAAGGGCUGCAACCACACAUCUCCAGCGGACUUGGUUUUGGGCUGCUCCUCUAAUCUGUGCCCAUGAGAGCCCAGCUGUUUUCGCCUCCUCCUCAACCGUUCUCUUCCAUGUUUUCCUUGGCCGGCCCACCCUCCUUUUUCCCUGGGGAUUCCAGUCUAAUGCAUGUUUUGAUGAAUAAGAUGUAAGUUGUGUAAAUAGUAGUGUGGAGACCUCAGAGCAACACUUAAUUUCAUGACCAACAGCGAUAAGAUGGUACUAUUAGUAAGCCAUACUUAAUGAUCAACACUACUCAUAUUAUCAUAUAGAGGACAGAGUAGGCAAAUGGUUGAGGACACUAUUGCUAAACAUAAAGCCAAGCCUCCAGGUGUUGUGUAUAUCAAUCAGCCCACUGGAGAUAUAUCAAUCUUUAAUAAAUUAUAAGGACCCCACUGCUUGAUACUUCACCAAAUACUGGCUACACCAGAAAAUGACUAAAUGUUCUUAACACUUAACAACUACCACAAGCAUUACUUCUGGGUCACUCUGAAGGGUCUAAUCGUUCAAUUACUGAAUUGAUAAAGUUGAUGAAAUUGCUCAAAAAUUGUCUGGCACCUUCUUAACUCAGAGACAUAGGAAUGUGGAUGGAUUAUGACAUACCUUGCACAAAUCAACAACCAGGCUUUUAUUGGAUUUGAAUCCCAAAGCAAAGAGAAAGUUUGUUAUCCAAAACAAACAUGGAAAAUAUCAGAAACCAACAAAACACAAGCAGGCAGAGUGUUAUGGACACAACUUUGGGGAAUCUCCUAAAACCAAGUAUAAAAAUAGAGAGGUGUGGUUGUGUCUCUCAGCUCCACAAGGGUCCACAAGAAUGAGGACAACAGUGAUUUUCGUAAUAAUUUUAGAUCAGAUUUAAAAAAAAAAAUUUGAUCAGAUGGAUCAGGUUAACAGUUUAAUACAUAUUGCAUUUAAGUGCUUAAUGAAAAGAAAAGAUUCUCUUACCAAAAUAGUCUAAGAACAAUGCUGAUUUUAAAUUAAUAAAUUGUUUCCUUUUAUAAUAAUAUAAUAAUUUAAGUUGGCAUUGUAUGUAUGUUUAGUGUAGAUUUAAUGCCCUAAAUGAAAUAUACAAUUGACAUUUUUUUCUUUAAAGAAUUAGUUGCAA